rnacentral:misc_RNA from 1 species
CAAGGUUAAAAAGCCGUAAAAACGGCUAAACCUGAUCAUUCACUUUGUGCACUUAUUGAAAUUAUGCUUUGGCAGACUUAUUUCGAUUUUUCCGAAGCCUUUGGGUGUUAUUCGACCCCAAAGGGGUCUGCCAGAGUUUUCUGUAAAAAUAUAGCCUGAUUUUUUGUCUGAAGUUUUUUAAAUAAAACCAAAUA